rnacentral:rRNA from 1 species
AGUGGCGGACGGGUGAGUAACGCGUAAGAAUCUAACUUCAGGACGGGGACAACAGUUGGAAACGACUGCUAAUACCCGAUGUGCCGCAAGGUGAAACCUAAUUGGCCUGGAGAAGAGCUUGCGUCUGAUUAGCUAGUUGGUGGGGUAAAGGCCUACCAAGGCGACGAUCAGUAGCUGGUCUGAGAGGAUGAGCAGCCACACUGGGACUGAGACACGGCCCAGACUCCUACGGGAGGCAGCAGUGGGGAAUUUUCCGCAAUGGGCGAAAGCCUGACGGAGCAACGCCGCGUGAGGGAGGAAGGUCUUUGGAUUGUAAACCUCUUUUCUCAAGGAAGAAGUUCUGACGGUACUUGAGGAAUCAGCCUCGGCUAACUCCGUGCCAGCAGCCGCGGUAAUACGGGGGAGGCGAGCGUUAUCCGGAAUUAUUGGGCGUAAAGCGUCCGCAGGUGGUCAGCCAAGUCUGCCGUCAAAUCAGGUUGCUUAACGACCUAAAGGCGGUGGAAACUGGCAGACUAGAGAGCAGUAGGGGUAGCAGGAAUUCCCAGUGUAGCGGUGAAAUGCGUAGAGAUUGGGAAGAACAUCGGUGGCGAAAGCGUGCUACUGGGCUGUAUCUGACACUCAGGGACGAAAGCUAGGGGAGCGAAAGGGAUUAGAUACCCCUGUAGUCCUAGCCGUAAACGAUGGAUACUAGGCGUGGCUU